rnacentral:lncRNA from 1 species
CAGGAUCCACCCAGUGAACGCGACGUGAACCUGAGAACUUCAUUCACAUCAUACGCCAACAUUCGGAACACAAACCGGGAGCGGCGCCUGCUCCUCACAGCAUCGUCACAAUUACCGUGAAGUGGCGUUUUGGCAAAACUGCACCGAUCUGGCUUUGAAAUGUCGCUCAGAGCCAAAUCCCACACCGACCUGCAGACGGCUGGGAGGUCUCCGUUAGACGACAGCCUGUACAAGUCGUUCUCCAUGAGCAGCAGUAACAUGAACAGAGGCAGUCGGUUUGGAAACGGGACAGCGGAAGAGGUCAAAGGUCUCUCCAGACCGUCCAGGAGGCCUGUGAGGGUGGUCAGGCCAGUCAGCGCCAUCAGCUCCAAUGGUUCGUUCCUCCAGAUCAACCAUCUGCAAGGAGAGCUGGUCCGAAAGAGGAAGGAAUGCGAGGAUCUGAGGAAAGAAAACAAGUACUUAUCAAAUGAGAUCCACAUGGAGCGGAUCAUGAUGCGCACAGAGAAUGAGCUGACCAUGAGGAACCUCAGGAACCUGAACCAGGAGCUGCAGGCUCAAGUCAAAGAGCUGAAGCAGAAGCUGUAUCAGAGCCAGCAGAGGGCGACGUUGUGCUCACGAGCUGCAGACGAGGCAGAGGAGUCCAGACGGGAUGCCGAGAAGAGCAGGGCCCUGGCCGAGGCCCGGGCCCUCGGGUGUCAGCGGGACAAGGAGGUAGCAGAGGCUGACAGGGGCCGUCUGAGUGAAGAGCUGCAGCAGCUUAAAAAAGAGCACACUGAUCUGCAGCUAUUACUUGCACAAACAGAGAAGAGUUAUUUUGAGACCAAGCUGAAGUUGGACCGAGUGUCCGGGGAGAAACAGGCCCUGCUGCAGGAGAACAGGAAUCUUGAGGGAGACAAAGACAACCUCCGACACAAGCUGAGACAGACCACAGAGGAAAAUGUCAAAAUUAAAGAGAGUGAGGUGAAUUCGAGGCACAGAGCAAUGGCAUCGGAGGAGGAGAGCAAAAAAGCCAACCAGGCUCAGCGAGAGGCCGAAGCAGAGAGGCGUCUGGCCGAGAAGGAGAGGCAGGAGAGAACGGCCGAGUGUCUCAGCUGGAGAGAGAAGCACCAGGAGCUAGCCAACAGGUUCAGAGCGCAGGAGGACCUGAAGUCUCUGAGGCAGAGCAAAGCAUGUCAGGCCAACAUCAAGAGUUAUUUCCUCUGCAAGACAGAAAGCGAUCAGAGGGUGAAAAUUCUCCGAAACCAAGACGGCACCCCGAGAAACUUCACGGUGAGAUGA